CCCACCGUCAAGUUUGUCCUAGGGUUUAGGGGUUUAUUGGUAGAAUCAGCGUUGGUGGGGUUCAAAGAAAUCGUUAAGCCCGUGUUUCCGAGGAGGCAAGGGAUCUUGAUUAUUGGAUUCCACCCACGUCCUUUGGUGGUCGGCCACCCAGGCCAUCUUCCCAGCAGCAUCCAUGUGGUUCAGUUCUCCCAAAUCAAGGUCCCUGAGUUCUCCAGUUUGAUUAUAGAGGUUUGGUCGCACAUGUUCACACAUUCAGAGCCU
rnacentral:lncRNA from 1 species